GGUAUUGUAGAGAGGGAGGUGUUGAUCUCCAAACAUUGUUAGAGUUUGGGCUAAAAAAUAAGCAAGGUGGGGAUAACCAGAUCAUUUCUUGGGGCAUCUUACAAUUUCAAGGGGCUCAUGUACUUGCCAUGCAGUGAGUCUUUGACCCUAUUUCUUUUGUCUUUUCAGCUGGCAAUUGGAGGAGCUAAGAACUAGCUUUCUACCUCACUUCCAUUACUACCAUCCUUUUCCCUAGGUUUUACUAUCUCCUGUGCUUUCCUUCACUUUGUACAGCUGCCUUUCUUCCCAAGAAUAGCAUUUAUGCUUGCCUUUUCUCACAUUCAAGAUUGAUGAUGGACAAGGCCUGGCACCAGGACUCAGUCCUGGUGGAGGAUUUGUGGUGCUAAUUUCAACACUUGACAUUGAUAGCAAGCAUGACCCAGCCCAACCCAAUAUCUGUCUCAAAUAGCAGAGAAAUUUUAAAUUUAGGAAAAAAGAAUUUAAGAUUAUGGGCAGCCUCAUCUUGUACCCUCAACUCAUCUGAAGUAGGAAGGAACCACCUUUUGCCUUGUUCUUUAUUCUAUUCUGAGGACAGAGGAAAGGGCACCUAUACCAUAAAAGAUGUGAGCUCUCUGCUCAGGAACCAGAUGGAUUCAUCAGGUGGUUGAAUGGUUUAUCACUUCUCUCUUGCUGAGUUUACUCUUAAUAACUUUUAUUGAUUGCUGCCUUUUACUUGUAUGUCUAAUCUAAAGAGACCUUUCUCUUUCAUACUUUUUGCUU
rnacentral:lncRNA from 1 species